UACGUAGGGUGCAAGCGUUAAUCGGAAUUACUGGGCGUAAAGCGUGCGCAGGCGGUGAUGUAAGACAGUUGUGAAAUCCCCGGGCUCAACCUGGGAACUGCAUCUGUGACUGCAUCGCUGGAGUGCGGCAGAGGGGGAUGGAAUUCCGCGUGUAGCAGUGAAAUGCGUAGAUAUGCGGAGGAACACCGAUGGCGAAGGCAAUCCCCUGGGCCUGCACUGACGCUGAGGAGCGAAAGCAUGGGGAGCGAACAGG
rnacentral:rRNA from 1 species